rnacentral:rRNA from 1 species
GGACAAACGCUGGCGGCGUACCUAAGACAUGCAAGUCGAACGGGUACGGACCCUUCGGGGUGGCGUGCUAGUGGCGGACGGGUGAGUAACGCGUAGGAACCUAUCGCACAGUGGGGGAUACCACGGGGAAACCGGUGUUAAUACCGCAUGUGGUCAGCAAUGACGAAAGCAGCAAUGCGCUGUGUGCGGGGCCUGCGUCCGAUUAGCUGGUUGGUGGGGUAAGGGCCUACAAGGCGACGAUCGGAGCUGGUCUGAGAGGAUGGUCAGCCACACUGGGAC